rnacentral:lncRNA from 1 species
GCCGGCCAAAGAAGAACAAAGGAGGAAAGGAAAAAAAACAAGAACCCUAUGCGGGAAAAUUGAAGAAAAGUGUGGGAUUUCAAGGGAUUAAGCUAAUAAAGGUAAAAUUUCUUGAUUUUGACUUGUGAUUUACACUACCAUGCUUUCUUGUUCAUUUUCCAUACUUAGAUUUCAUGUUUUUAUGGUGAAUUCAUGGCUGGUUGGAAUGGGUAUGGAGAGAGAAUGAAGUUGGAUUGAUUUGAUUCUAAGUUAUGUUAGUGUUUUUAGUUAGUUUAUCAUGUCUAGAAACAAACCAACAAGAAAAAUUUAUUUUCUCCCAUUACCCAUCAUUGGUCGAAUUUUCUAGGGAGGAUAUUGCGGNGUGUUUUUAGUUAGUUUAUCAUGUCUAGGAACAAACCAACAAGAAAAAUUUAUUUUCUCCCAUUACCCAUCAUUGGUCGAAUUUUCUAGGGAGGAUAUUGCGGUUGAAAUUGAUGAUAUUUUAUGAUAUUUUGGUGAUAUUUGAUGUUUGGUGAGGCUAGAAAUUAAAUGAGAAAUUUUGGUGUGAAAAUCUAAAUUUUUGCUCAACGUAUAGACAUGUGUGAUUAUUGACCCGAAACUGAUAAAUUGAAUCUCAUUCACAGUCACUGAGGUAAUUUAGGUAUAAUUGGAGUGUAAAAAGUGAGAAGAAUUGAUUUAGAGUUAAAUUGAAGAUUUUAGCUGAUUAGACCGAGUAUAGUGUGACUUAAGUCGAAUAUCACAUGUAAGCAAUUAAUCGGACAUUUUGCAUUCCAUAUCAUGCAUUAGUAGUCUAAAUUAGUUUAAUUUUGAUUUAGUACCAAUGUAAUAAGUUUCUCGAUUUUGUAUUGUGUCAAGGUGGUGAGUUCUCUGACAAGGGUAAGGAAAUUGUACCCGAUGAUCGAUAAUCGGAGUACUUUAGAAAUUAGACUCCUGAAAUAGUGAGUAACCUUACCAUCAAUUUAAUUAUCUAAAGUAUGUUUUUAAUCGGUUUUGGUGAAAUUUUAUGAAAAU